rnacentral:rRNA from 1 species
GACGAACGCUGGCGGCGUGCUUAACACAUGCAAGUCGAACGGAAAGGCCCUGCUUUUGUGGGGUGCUCGAGUGGCGAACGGGUGAGUAACACGUGAGUAACCUGCCCUUGACUGUGGGAUAACUUCAGGAAACUGGGGCUAAUACCGGAUAGGAGCUCCUGCUGCAUGGUGGGGGCUGGAAAGUUUCGGCGGUUGGGGAUGGACUCGCGGCUUAUCAGCUUGUGGGGGGGGUAGUGGCUUACCAAGGCUUUGCCGGGUAGCCGGCCUGAGGGGGUGACCGGCCACCUUGGGACUGAGGUACGGCCCAGACUCCUACGGUAGGCAGCAGUGGGGAAUAUUGCACAAUGGGCGGAAGCCUGAUGCAGCAACGCCGCGUGCGUGAUGACGGCCUUCGGGUUGUAAACCGCUUUCGCCUGUGACGAAGCGUGAGUGACGGUAAUGGGUAAAGAAGCACCGGCUAACUACGUG